rnacentral:rRNA from 1 species
GACGUAGGUGGCGAACGUUAUCCGGAAUUAUUGGGCGUAAAGGGUGCGUAGACGGCAUGAUAAGUUAUUGGCGGGAAAUCGAGGCUCAACCUCGUGGAAACUGAUAAUACUGUUUUGCUUGAGUACAGGAGAGGUUAACGGAACUCCAUGUGGAGCGGUAAAAUGUGUAGAUAUAUGGAAGAACAUCAAUAACGGCGAAGGCAGUUAACUAUUCUGUUACUGACGUUGAGGCACGAAAGCGUGGGGAGCAAAACGG